ANGUUUCCGUAGGUGACCUGCGGAAGGAUCAUUAACGAGUUAGGGUCUUCCAGGCCCGACCUCCCAACCCUUAUGUUUAUUGAACCUCUGUUGCUUCGGCGGACCCGUCUCACGACCGCCGGAGGACCGCCGCGAGGCGUCCUCUGGCCAGCGUCCGCCGAUGGCCAACCACUUAACUCUGAAUGAAUCGUGUCAUUAUGUCUAAGUCUAUGAUUAAAUUAAAGCAAAACUUUCAACAACGGAUCUCUUGGUUCUGGCAUCGAUGAAGAACGCAGCGAAAUGCGAUAAGUAAUGCGAAUUGCAGAAUUCCAGUGAGUCAUCGAAUCUUUGAACGCACAUUGCGCCCUUUGGUAUUCCGAAGGGCAUGCCUGUUCGAGCGUCAUUAUCACCCCUCAAGCCCUGUGCUUGGUGUUGGACGGCCGGUCGAGCGAUCGACCCCUCCUAAAGACAAUGACGGCGGCCUGUGGUUCCCCCGGUACACUGAGCUUCUCACCGAGCACGUAUCGGACAAGGGCACCCGGGACCCCGGUCUUCUCCUUUCACAAAAGGAAACUUUCUAUGGUUGACCUCGGAUCAGGUAGGAAUACGCGCUGAACUUAAGCAUAUCAAUAAGCGCAGGAAAAGAAACCAACAGGGAUUACCUCAGUAACGGCGAGUGAAGCGGUAAUAGCUCAAAUUUGAAAUCUGGCCUUUUGGGGUCCGAGUUGUAAUUUGUAGAGGAUGUUUUGGGUACCGCCCCGGUCUAAAUUUCUUGGAACAGAAUGUCAAAGAGGGUGAGAAUCCCGUCUUGGACCGGCGGUAGGGCCUGUGUAAAACUCCUUCGACGAGUCGAGUUGUUUGGGAAUGCAGUUCAAAAUGGGUGGUAAAUUUCAUCUAAAGCUAAAUAUUGGCCAGAGACCGAUAGCGCACAAGUAGAGUGAUCGAAGAUGAAAAGCACUUUG
rnacentral:rRNA from 1 species